rnacentral:rRNA from 1 species
UACGGGGGGGGCAAGCGUUGUUCGGAAUUACUGGGCGUAAAGGGCUUGUAGGUGGCCAACUAAGUCAGACGUGAAAUCCCUCAGCUUAACCGGGGAACUGCUUCUGAUACUGGAUGGCUUGAGUUUGGGAGAGGGAUGCGGAAUUCCAGGUGUAGCGGUGAAAUGCGUAGAUAUCUGGAGGAACACCGGUGGCGAAGGCGGCAUCCUGGACCAACACUGACACUGAAAAGCGAAAGCCAGGGGAGCAAACGGG